rnacentral:rRNA from 1 species
UACGUAGGUGGCAAGCGUUGUCCGGAAUUAUUGGGCGUAAAGCGCGCGCAGGCGGUCCUUUAAGUCUGAUGUGAAAGCCCACGGCUCAACCGUGGAGGGUCAUUGGAAACUGGGGGACUUGAGUGCAGGAGAGAAGAGUGGAAUUCCACGUGUAGCAGUGAAAUGCGUAGAGAUGCGGAGGAACACCGAUGGCGAAGGCAGCCCCCUGGGCUAGCACUGACGCUCAGGCACGAAAGCGUGGGGAGCAAACAGG